rnacentral:lncRNA from 1 species
CUUAAAUAAAUAUCAAGGUAAUCGUCCGUCUUUCGUCGACGAAAGAACACAUCCGGCAAUAAUACGUUAUGGUGUGAAAUCGCACGCGUCGCCCAUUUCUUCUGGCGCGCCCGUGAUCAAACAGCUAGCGCCAAUCAAAUCCAUGAACCGCCCGCGUCGGCCCCAACCCCAGGCCAUCUCCACCAACACAACAAGCGAAGCACAUAUGAUAUGCCAAACCCCUCCCUCCAAUACAAAUUAUCUAUCAACUCCUCUGCAUUGCUGAUCAACGCCACGCCAUGGCUCCGCCGCUGCUCCUCUCGCUGCUGCUUCUCUUCCCCGUCCUCUCCACC